ACAGGAGCUGUGAGUGGCUGAGGAUGGCGUGCUUGAUGGAUUUUCUGGGUAAAGCAACUGCGAAGUCAGUUUUAAAAAGGAAACGGGCAUAAAAUCGCUUCUGAGAGAGGGCAGAGGGGGCGAGAACCACGAAACUCAAAGCCAAAAGACUCCCAAGACCACAGCCUCGCGGGCGCCCACCAAAAACCAAGAGGGAUGAAAGAAGGGGGCAGUGAGCCAACAAAUGUGAGCAGCGUCCAGAAGCUGGAAAAGGGAAGGAAAUGGACUCUCCCCUGGAGCCUCCAGUAGGGACACAUUCCUACCAACACCUAAAUUUUAACGGUGUCACACGUUUUACAAACAAAAUACAAGACCCUCCACCAGCAAAAGGAUUAUGUCUCUGUCUAGUGCAAUACUCGCUUUAUUAUAGUGGUCUGGAACCAAACCCACAAUAUCUCUGAGAUUUCAAAGCACAUGUGACUUGUUCUCAACACAUUCCUGAAAUCAGCAGCAACUUCUGAAAGUCUGCCUCUUCUCUACACACCGAUUCUUCAACAGGGUCACAACCAUUGUCCCAAAAGCUCCAAUGUAGGGGUUCAAAUCCAUCUGUCAUUCAUGAAGUUGUUUGACACUCUCAGGGCCAAUGUCAAGUACUAAACUGAAGUCACUUUACACAGAAUGGGGAAGAGAUGAGCACACUCCCCUGUUCAGAUCAAAAAGCAGAGAGUGGGAAUGGAAAAUAAAAGAAAAAAUGGACAACUAGACAAACCCAAACUGGAGGACCUUGAAUAAAGAAGAGUUGACCUCCUGGAUCAUUUUGCCUACCUGUGCACAGCAUAUUACAGAAAACCAUUCCAUCAUCUGCCACCCGCUGGGCCCAGUGGAUCUUGGUGCUGCCAGAAAUCUGAACCGUGCACUCAUUACUCAUUCUGCGUUCCACUCCCUUUACCAAA